UUCUUCUUCUUCUUCUUCUUCUUCUUCUUCUUCUUCUUCUUCUUCUUCUUCUCUUCUUCUUCUUCUUCUUCUUCUUCUCUUCCUCCUCCUCCUCCUCCUCCUUCCCUUGUCCUUGCGCCACAUCUUCACAGAUUAACCUUUACCUCCUCCUCCUCCUCCUCCUCCUCCUCCUCCUCCUCCUUCCUCCCAGCAUUCCCAUGAAAUACCUUAGUCAUCCCUAUAAACUCAAGGUCAGUCUGGCUUUCUUUCCCGUUUUCUUUUCGCUAACAGGGUGUCGGCGGCCCGUUUUCUGCCAGACGCCUCCAGAGAGAGAGAGAGAGAGAGAGAGAGAGAGAGAGAGAGAGAGAGAGAGAGAGAGAGAGAUUCCUUCGCGUCGUUGCACAAAAGUAAAGAGAAAAAAAGAAAGAAAGAAAGAAAGAAAUCAGUGUAACGAUGAUAGAACUCGAUUGCAUGAGAGAGAGAGAGAGAGAGAGAGAGAGAGAGAGAGAGAGAGAGAGAGAGAGAGAGAGAGAGAGAGAGAGAGAGAGAGAGAGAGAGAGAGAGAGAGAGAGAGA